rnacentral:lncRNA from 1 species
GCAGGCCCAGGUCAAGAGGAGCUGCGGAAGCUGGAGAGCACCCUUACAGGCCUGGAGCAGAGCCGGGAGAGGCAGGAGCGUCGCAUCCAGGUCAGCUUGAGGAAGUGGGAGCGGUUUGAGACAAACAAGGAGACGGUGGUCAGAUAUCUCUUCCAGACAGGUUCCAGCCAUGAGCGCUUCCUGAGCUUCAGCAGUUUGGAAAGCCUGUCGUCAGAGCUGGAGCAGACAAAGGAGUUUUCUAAGAGGACGGAAAGUAUUGCCACCCAGGCUGAAAACCUUGUCAAGGAAGCCGCAGAGAUGCCACUGGGGCCCAGGAAUAAGCGCCUGCUUCAGCAGCAGGCCAAGUCAAUCAAGGAGCAGGUCAAAACUCUAGAAGACACACUAGAAGAAGAGUAUGUGCUUCACAACUUCUAAACUUUCCUCUCUGGGAUACAAUCCCAAUAGUGUCUCCUGUGUCUUCUAUUCCAGUCUUUCGGAAAUCUCAACUUGCCAUCUGUGUGUUUCAAACUGUCUCAAGGAAGCAACUCAGUUCAAAAGAAAAGUGUCCUCAGUCCAGGGACUGGUAUCCAUAAUAACAAAAGGAUAUGAGGGAUUUGGUGUUUGCAUCUUGAAAUGGGAUAUUCAUCACUAAGCCAUAUCUAUUCAUUUCUGUGGCCUUCACAUAACACAGAGGCAGUCUAAAAACUAACCUGCAACUUUUUCUCCUUUUUCCUAUUUCAUUAUACUGCCACCAGUUAGAAGUGGGAUUUUCUGACAGCGU